GACGAACGCUGGCGGCGUGCUUAACACAUGCAAGUCGAACGGAAAGGCCCCUUUGGGGGUACUCGAGUGGCGCACGGGCGGGUAACACGUGAGUAACCUACCCUUGACUUCGGGAUAACUACAGGCAACUGGGGCUAAUACCGGAUAGGAAUCCUUGCUGCAUGGUGGGGGUUGGAAAGCUUGGGCGGUUUGGGGUGGAUUGGCGGCUUAUUAGCUUGUUGGUGGGGUAGUGGCUUACCAAGGCUUUGACGGGUAGCCGGCCGGAGAGGGGGACCGGCCACAUUGGGACUGAGAUACGGCCCAGACUCCUACGGGAGGCAGCAGGGGGGAAUAUUGCACAAUGGGCGGAAGCCUGAUGCAGCAACGCCGCGUGCGGGAUGACGGCCUUCGGGUUGUAAACCGCUUUCAGCAGGGGCGAAGCUUGUGGUGACGGUACCUGCAGAAGAAGCACCGGCUAACUACGUG
rnacentral:rRNA from 1 species